GAUGAACGCUGGCGGCGUGCCUAAUACAUGCAAGUCGAGCGAACAGACGAGGAGCUUGCUCCUCUGACGUUAGCGGCGGACGGGUGAGUAACACGUGGAUAACCUUCCUAUAAGACUGGGAUAACUUCGGGAAACCGGAGCUAAUACCGGAUAAUAUAUUGAACCGCAUGGUUCAAUAGUGAAAGACGGUUUUGCUGUCACUUAUAGAUGGAUCCGCGCCGCAUUAGCUAGUUGGUAAGGUAACGGCUUACCAAGGCAACGAUGCGUAGCCGACCUGAGAGGGUGAUCGGCCACACUGGAACUGAGACACGGUCCAGACUCCUACGGGAGGCAGCAGUAGGGAAUCUUCCGCAAUGGGCGAAAGCCUGACGGAGCAACGCCGCGUGAGUGAUGAAGGGCUUCGGAUCGUAAAACUCUGUUAUUAGGGAAGAACAAAUGUGUAAGUAACUAUGCACGUCUUGACGGUACCUAAUCAGAAAGCCACGGCUAACUACGUGC
rnacentral:rRNA from 1 species